UGUUAUUUGUUUUAGGGUUUGAAGCUCUAUGAAGCCAUAACAAGGUGAAGGAUGGGAAACUCCCAAAAUUGGAGAGAGAAAGGUGAAGGAUGGGAAACUCCCAAAAUUGGAGAGAGAAAGGUGAAGGAUGGGAAACUCCCGAAAUUGGAGAUUAUUUUGGAGAUUUUCUCUACGCGAGUUUUAUUGGGAUCAUUGAGGUGACAAGGCUACUAUGAGUAGGAUAAUUAUCAGAAAUCGCGGUUUGUCUACAAUCUGCGAUCUGCGGUUUCAUUUCUUCUAUCACGGUUUCGUAGCAAAGAUUUAUUAGGAUUGUUUUUUGGAAUAUUUGGUUUUGAUUAUUGUCUUAAAACUAGGUUGAGAACAUUUUGAGGUUUAUGAAAUUAUAAUUUUUUUAUUUGUUUA